rnacentral:rRNA from 1 species
UGCAAGUCGAACGGCAGCACGGGAGCUUGCUCCUGGUGGCGAGUGGCGAACGGGUGAGUAAUAUAUCGGAACGUGCCCUAGAGUGGGGGAUAACUAGUCGAAAGAUUAGCUAAUACCGCAUACGAUCUACGGAUGAAAGUGGGGGAUCGCAAGACCUCAUGCUCGUGGAGCGGCCGAUAUCUGAUUAGCUAGUUGGUGAGGUAAAGGCUCACCAAGGCAUCGAUCAGUAGCUGGUCUGAGAGGACGACCAGCCACACUGGGACUGAGACACGGCCCAGACUCCUACGGGAGGCAGCAGUGGGGAAUUUUGGACAAUGGGGGCAACCCUGAUCCAGCAAUGCCGCGUGAGUGAAGAAGGCCUUCGGGUUGUAAAGCUCUUUUGUCAGGGAAGAAACGGUGAGGGCUAAUAUCCUUUGCUAAUGACGGUACCUGAAGAAUAAGCACCGGCUAACUACGUGCCAGCAGCCGCGGUAAUACGUAGGGUGCAAGCGUUAAUCGGAAUUACUGGGCGUAAAGCGUGCGCAGGCGGUUAUGCAAGACAGAUGUGAAAUCCCCGGGCUCAACCUGGGAAUUGCAUUUGUGACUGUAUGGCUAGAGUGUGUCAGAGGGGGGUAGAAUUCCACGUGUAGCAGUGAAAUGCGUAGAUAUG